rnacentral:miRNA from 1 species
AACACACCUGGUUAACCUUU